CGGGGUCGGGGGAGAGGAGAGAGAGAGCGUGUGAGUAGAUGGAAUAUCCAGAAGUCAAAAGUGUGAAAAUAUGUGAUAAAGAAAAAUUCAGCUCUGAUUUAAUGACAAAUUAACUUUCAAAACCAUUAUCUUCAAUAAUUGCAGCAAACAUUUCUUCAGCACACCACGUGUCAGUCAUCGCACUCGGAGCUUCUGCUUCUCCGCCUGGUUUACUCAAUCGCCAUAACUGCAGGAAGGAGGUGCGGUGCUGCCCGCCCCACCGCCUGCAGGUGAAGAACAAGGAAACUGGGAGCUGCCCUGCCCUUUUCCCUCAGCCAAGAAGCAGAACCUGAUGAGGCAGCCCGUAUCCACCA
rnacentral:lncRNA from 1 species